rnacentral:rRNA from 1 species
AUUGAACGCUGGCGGCAGGCCUAACACAUGCAAGUCGAGCGGAUGAGUGGAGCUUGCUCCAUGAUUCAGCGGCGGACGGGUGAGUAAUGCCUAGGAAUCUGCCUGGUAGUGGGGGGCAACGUUUCGAAAGGAACGCUAAUACCGCAUACGUCCUACGGGAGAAAGCAGGGGACCUUCGGGCCUUGCGCUAUCAGAUGAGCCUAGGUCGGAUUAGCUAGUAGGUGAGGUAAUGGCUCACCUAGGCGACGAUCCGUAACUGGUCUGAGAGGAUGAUCAGUCACACUGGAACUGAGACACGGUCCAGACUCCUACGGGAGGCAGCAGUGGGGAAUAUUGGACAAUGGGCGAAAGCCUGAUCCAGCCAUGCCGCGUGUGUGAAGAAGGUCUUCGGAUUGUAAAGCACUUUAAGUUGGGAGGAAGGGCAGUAAGUUAAUACCUUGCUGUUUUGACGUUACCAACAGAAUAAGCACCGGCUAACUUCGUGCCAGCCGCCGCAGUAAGAC